AUGAUGUUUUAUUAUUUUUUAACUAUGUAAAGUUGUUCCUUCGCAGAUUGUUUUAGGCCUGGCAUCAAAACUCUUUAUUUUAUAACAGAGAGUUUCAUAUUUUAUUGUGUUACCACAAUGCCAAACCGGAAUAAUUUUUAAUUAGGAGCAAAAAGAAUGAUAAAGGAUUUUGGAGGAUUCAUUAUUACAUGAAAUAUUUAGUUCAUCUCAUAUUUGUGGGCUUAAAUGUAAAUUAAAACUUAACAGUUUAUUUUAAAUGUGUUACUUGCUGUAUGUGUGGGUGUGUGUGUGUAACAAUACAUACUUGAAAUAUAACUAAAUCAUAUGAGUUUUGAUACGCAACGAAGCCUCCUUUAAGCGAACAUAUUAAUGAAACAGUCUGUUUUCGCUAAUAGCGGCGUCUAUUAGCUAUUAGUUGCUAUUCAACUGUUAAUUGCUUUAAAAUUCAUACAGCAUAUACAUUGCUCUUUGUAAACUGCAAGUUUAUCUGAAAGGCUUAUAAACAUUUUUGUAGUCAGCCAUAGAAGAAGAGAUAGAAGAAAAAUCUCAAAUACCCACUUAUCUUUAGCCAGAACAUAAAAACCAUUUUGUGUCGCUCCUAUAAGGUUUUUACUAUAAGAGCAACAUAAGCUUCCGUGCUCGCUAAAUAAUAAAUUCCCAAUGAUAUAAAAGUAAAACUAUUAUAUAGCAAUUUAAAAUUCACUCUGAGAAUUGUACAAAGACUCGAAACAGAUUUUGCCUGUUUUAAAAAAAAUUAA